UCCGUAUAUGACGGGUUUGAUAGAAGCCGGAUGUAAGUACCGAGGUUCGCCGAGGUAUUCAGUCCUGGCUCACUAACAUCUUUGCCGCUGGAUGUG
rnacentral:rRNA from 1 species